CAUGUUAGCCAGGCUGAUCUCAAACUCCUGACCCCAGGUGAUCCGCCCGCCUCAGCCUCCCAGAUGCUGGGAUUACAGGCUUGAGCCACCACGCCCGGCCUCUUCAAGCUUUUUUACUAUAAAUGUUGCCCCUCUCCCCCAACUUAGUCACUACUGAAUCUUUUUGUGAUGGCACCAGGUCACUUUAUGCUGGGAGAUCUAGUCAAAAUUUGUUUAUUUACUCUGCCCCUUGUCAACCACAGUAUAAUUUGGAGGACAUGAAUAAAAUACUUGACAGUAUCCAAGGGAGCGAUACCAAAAUCUAAUAGGUAAAUUUUGGAUUUUACUUCUUUGUGCUUUAAAGUACCAGGAUUUCUGUCUUUAUGGAUAGGUCUUGGAGAAUGUAAGUAAUGGAUGAAACUUUUUAAAAUAAUUUGUAAAUUUUACCUAAGUAGGACAGUAGUCCUUAUUGCAACCAAAAUAAUUUACUGAGCAUGACUCCUGUAAAUUAAUCUACAGUCAGACUAGUAUGAUUUUAAUAUGAUUUGAGUAAAAAGAUAAUUUUCAAGGAAAGAGUAAUCAUCCAUCAAUUUCUUUUAAAGCCAGAUAGUAUUCAAUUUAUAUCAAGAACAAAGAAGUUGCCCUUUUAAAAGCAUGUACAUGAAUGCUUUUUGAGGCACAGAAGUGUGCUAAGCUUUAACAUUUUGUAUUUAUUUACAACUCUUCUCUAAGGGAAGGUUACUUCUCAGUGCAGAUGGAGAAACUGAAGCAUUAAGGAUAAAUGAUUAGUUCUCAAUUACAUCAUUUUUUCACAGAUUUGCUGGGACUAGCUUUCAGGUAUUGACAGCCAGCCCCAUAUAUUAAGGUAACCAGGCUGAAUCUCCCAAUUUAAGAAUCCAUGUAUG